UGCCUAGCAAGACCUCAGCCUUUCGCGCCCGCGCCCCCACCCCAGGAAUUUAACCCCCUCCCCGCCGAGGGCCGCGCCACAGCGCCGCAUUCCUGGCCCGCGGGGACCCGGGAGAAGGGGCCAGGGAGACCCGGCGAGGGAGAAGAUCCCUCCAACUCCUCCACCCGGAGCCGGCGGGCCGUGCGCUCUGGAGGGCAGAGCGGGCAGCUGCGCCACAGAGGCGGGGUCGGAGUAGGAGGCGGCCCUGAAAUCGGGAAGCUGGGCGCGCCCACUCCCCAACCAGCUGCAGAAAGCCUUCCACCUGCUCCCCUGAGCGACCCCACGCUGAGACCGAACCCCCGUACCCUAGCCUCGUUCACCACCCCCACCCUCUGGCCUGGGCUGCUUUGACCUGAGGGAGCGAGUGCUCAGUGCCCAGUGAACUGCUGUCAGGGAGCAAGUGUGGAGGCUGUCAGUGGUGCAGCAGGCACGUGCGCUGUCCCGAGGCAGCAGCUCCCAGGUAAGAUGGGACCUAUUCCUUCCUCAGCAAAGACAUGCGCAUGCCGGUCACCUCAGCUGAAUGACCACAAAGCCUGGAGGAAAUGUGGAGUUUGCAGGGGAAGAGAGACCAAGUACCAUCAAUGCUUCUGUGGGCAGGUGAACAUCUCCAUCUCUGCCUGAGGUUCUCUCCAGCUCCACCUCAUGCCCCACCACUAACACUCAGCGACAGGAUGAAAAUGAGCUGCAGAGAUGAAGUCUCCCUACUGGCUGGGUCAGCAAAGAGACUCAACGUUUCCUUUUCCAUUUCAGAAAGAUCUGAAGUCUGGACGAGUAAAGAAAGAUGAAACAGGCACAGAUUUAGACUAAGUAUAUAUUUUAAUUUCUACAAGGUCCCCCUUUCAAGUUUUAGGAACAUUUAAAUGAAUUGUAUACAAAUUAGACAUUGCCAAUAUGUACAAAAGUAUUUUCUACAGUUUUUGAACAGUACCAGCUAUAUCAUGUUUCAUUUGCAGUAAACAAGAUGUUACAAAAACAGUCCAAUAAUACAUUUUCUAUUAAGAAGCACAAUACACAACAUAAUUAAAUUUUAUUAAAAAAUAACUUAAAAUACAGAACAAUCCCCUCUAGGCAAAGCUAUUUCUGUAGUUCAUUCAGUAAACACACAAUUGAAUGCUGUGGCUGAGGGCUGUUCUUUUCCAUGGAGGAAACAAUCAAGGCUUCCAGGGCCCACCUUUUUUGGGAUGAACUCCCCCGCAGUGGGCAGUUAUUGUCUGGAGUAGGCAGGGUUUUAGAACAUCCUGCCCCACCUGCACCCCCCGCUUCGUGCCCCCACCCCAGGACCCUGCACCUAUGUAGUCACUCCUGCGAUUACGCUAUGAUCUAUGGCAGAGCCGACCUGAAAACAGGGAGACUUGAUCAGUGGGCUUCUUCUAAUCAUACAAACCUUAAAAAUGAAGGAGGAAGGCAAGGGGAUGGGAAGCAUAAUGGGCUACUGAGGGUCUGAAGAUGGAGGGGAACGUGCAAGAAGGAAUGCGAGCAGCCUUCAGGAGCUGAGGGAGAAGCCACCAGCUGACAACCAGCAAGGAACCAAAUGAACUUGGAAGUAGAUUCUUCCCCAAAGCCUCCAUGAAGGCUGCCCUGCUGACUCUUGAUUUCAGCCUGUGAGACCCUGAGCAGAGAAUCCAGCCAUACUACGCCAGACUCACAAGCUACAGAACUGAGCUCAGAAAUGGGUGUUGUUUUAAGCUGCUAAGUGUGGGGUAAUUUGUUACAUAGCAAUAGAAAACGAAUACAUUGUCCAAGGAUAACUUUUCUUAACCUAAUUAGACUCGGCAGUUUCUGUUUGAGUUCUGAAUGCAUUUUUUUUUUCAGAGUAUUACAGGCAACUUUUGAAAACCCUUCACAUGAAU